GAUGAACGCUGGCGGCGUGCCUAACACAUGCAAGUCGAGCGGGGAGUGUAGUAAUACAUUCCUAGCGGCGGACGGGUGAGUAACGCGUGGGUAACCUGCCUUAUACAGGGGGAUAACACUGGGGAAACUAGUGCUAAUACCGCAUAACACAGUGAAGUGGCAUCACUUUACUGUCAAAGGAGAAAAUCUGGUAUAAGAUGGACCCGCGUCCGAUUAGCUAGUUGGUAGGGUAAAAGCCUACCAAGGGCGACGAUCGGUAGCCGAACUGAGAGGUUGAUCGGCCACAUUGGGACUGAGACACGGCCCAGACUCCUACGGGAGGCAG
rnacentral:rRNA from 1 species